CUGACGUUUUGUGUUGGGGGGGGGGGGCAACUUCACGCAGGUGUCUAAGCCAAUACGUUUCCUGGUUAAUUACACUCGUAGCCAAUCAGAGAUCACCUCUCUUGGGGAGUGGAGAAAAGGGAGGAGGGGUGAAGUGGACUUGGAGGGAAUGACACGCGGGAGCAGAGCGGGAAAAGGAAAUGGAGUUUUAACGCUGAGGUGAUGAUGUUUGUAGACUAAAGUACUGCUACAGUAGUGGCGCAAAUAUCAUUUUGUUCAGCGAAGAAUCGUGUGCAACUCGCAGUUUGGUAACUUUGUGAACCGUAGGUUUAAGUGAAGUGCAGCUAGGUUAUCUACGUUUGUUGUUUUGCACUAGCUUGAAAAAGGCUAAGUAUAAACUGUAACCCGUGGACGUUUAAGCUAACGUUGUUGUGAGAGACGGACAGCUGUAACCGCCAGCCGCAGUUUUCACCGUGGAACUGAAGGGACAAGGACUGUGGAGAACUGUGCUAAGUAGCGCGGUAACUACGCCUGUGUAAGAAGGGACUCUACCGCCGAACCUGCAUCGCUGAAUCGACUCUUACCUGCUGGACCCUCUGCAGCGGAUUCAUUCACUCAGCUCGUUUCCAACUGGAGCUGCUCAGACACACAUUGGAGACUCUGUGGAUGAAGCUGAACUUGGGUCGCUCUGUACUUUGCCUUAAACAGCAGGGCAGCUCGGACGAGUGGACAAUGUGUCAUACAAUGUGUCGGAUUCUGGAAGCAGCUGAAGGACUCUGUUUCCCCUCCCACCUGGUUAUUCUACACUUUUGAGUGUGCUGGGUGUACGCUGUCUACCUCACAACACUUUCUGGCUGUAUGUGGACCAUGGCUUUCUACACCUCACUGAGCCUUUUGUGUCACGCCUUAUGACAGAUCUAGAUAACAAUGGCAACGAAGAGCUGAAAUUCAGUGUCCUGAAAAGACUUCGUGAGUGCCUGGCCCAGAGAGUGUGUCAGCUUUGGGAUCAUCCAAUCAGCCCAGCCUGCAUCACCAGACAGUGUGUGAGAAGACUAUUGGAGAAAUACACAAAGGCCAAGUGAUGGCAGCCUUCCAGGAUGUGGCUCAGAAUCCAGCCAACAUCUCCAAAUACCAGGGCAACCCAAAGAUCAUGGCUCUCACCAACAAACUGAGCUCCAAGUUCAGCAACCCGCAGGCCUAGGCAGCCGAAGGACACGUGUUUAGUGAUGAGGAGCAUUUAUUUCGAUCUCUGAACGACGAUUUCAAUCAAAGGUUUUGGUUGUUGCAGCUCUGAUGCCUUGUGGGUUUUUAAUAUUGAAGGUGAAUGCAUCAUGAACCAAAAUCAGCCAUGCUGUGUUCAUAUAAAACAGUGGUUCUCAACCAGGGGGGCAUGGAGAGAUGGGAAGGAGGGGGUGUUAAUUUAAAAACAAAAAAAACACAGACUGGGCAUCAUUUGGGUACUUAAUGUAUUUUAUUGCUUUUCAAAUAGAAUGAUAUAUUUUAUAUAGAAUGGAUAAUCAUUAUACCUUUUUUCCUCCAAUAUAGGGUGUGCCACAUGAUGGGGAAGGCUAAGGCACUGAUGUAAAAGAUCCAUAAGACACUACUGCUUUAAUACGCUUUAAUAACUUUAAUAAAUUGGAUAUAUGAAAGAUUAGAUUUAAAAAGAAGAAAAUAGCAUAUGAGUGUAGAAUCAGUAACUUGUUACUGUAAGAAUGGAGUCACACUCUGAUGGAAUUGAACGUUAUUUUAUUCCUCAACGUAGACAAUAAUCAAGUAACGUGUGUUGCUGUUGGUGUACCAAUGCAGAGCGACUGUUUCUAGCCUGAAGUUGAGUAUUUUCCCAUAACAGCAUGGACCAAAGUGUUUUACUCUUCUUAAUUUCUCAAUAAUUACAUUUUAUUUAUUAACUCCAGACACAGGAUCCCUUUUAUAGUCAGUUUAUAGUUAUUUGAUAGUUAUCAAAAUAUGUUAGUUCCAUAGUUUAGUUGGUCGAAGUCAAUGAACUGUUACUAUAGAAACAACUUUUUUUUAAAAAAAGUAGUUUAUUCAUUUUAAAAGAAAAGGAGAAUCUUGUGUAUUGCAGCAAUCACACAUCCUCAAAUGUCCAUGAACUCCUGGCCAGAGGACACGUGUUGCUCUCUUCUAGCCAGUGGGCGAUACAGUGGAAGUGAAAUCUAUGCUGAACAUGAACAAACACACACACACAGUAUUAAGGCACCACAACCUGUACAAUGAUGCAUAUUGACUUGUAUUCUAUUACAUCCAAAUCACUGAGGUAUAGAAAUGCAGUGAAGAGAAGGACAAUGUGUGUGUAUAUGUCUUAUGUUACACACUCCCCUGGACACUGGGCACUCCUCAGGUCUGACAGCAGGCUCUUUGGCCUCACAUUCUCCACCUGCGCGCACACACAAAACACACAGACACGUCAAACAGUAAGCGGGAACUGGCUGCAGGCAGAAACUAAAGUUGUGAGCAUGGAAGUGAAGAAAUGUUGGACCACAUGCUCCGUAACAUUAGUCGACACAAUCAGUUGAAUUUGUUGCUCUACCACAACAUCACCAUUUUUGCUGCAAAAUCUGUAAAGACUAGAAAAAGACCAGGUUAUUUAUUAGCCCAUGCCCAUGAUCACCUCAGAUUCCUGUUCUGCUUUUGUAGCUCAUCCACCUCAAGGUUUGAUCUUUUGCGCAUACCGAGAUGGUUUUCUGCUCACCGCGUUUAUAAAGAGUGAUUAUACGAGUGACUAGAUCCUUCCUGGCAGCUCAAACCUAUCUGCCCAUUUUCCUCUGAUCUCUCUCUCAUCGACAAGGUGUUUCCACCCACAGAACUGCAAUAUUUUGAUCUUCAUCUAAGUCGUUGGUAUUGACAAAUAUAAUGUGUGUAAAAUAACACAAAAUAAAUUCUGAUCCCUCAUGUCUUUAUAAAGUAGACGGUUAGUGUAUCGCAUCACUAACACAGAGGCGCAUGGAUAAUUUUGUUCUUUUUGGGCUCUUCACACCUGGAUAGCAACGAAGAACCACAUCAUUGGCUAUCUGUUAGAGCUAUCUGACCUCCGACCUCCUUGUUAGAUACAUGAUCUCAACACCACUGAGCUAAUCAACUGCACUUAAUAUAAAGGUGAUGGUGUGUACACUUAAUGUUUCUGUUUUCAGGUGAAUGAGGAAACACUCACGCAUGCCAGUGAUGCUGCUUAAACAAAUGGAACAUUUCUCCACCUCAGGUUCCUUAGACCCCUAGAACAGAGUGAGAGAUGUGUGUUAGCGAUAAAACAAACAAACACACACACAAAGAAAGUCUUGAUGGUCUGAAUGCCAUAAAAUUAGGCGUCGCACUUCCACCACUGUGUGUUCCGCUCGUGUUUACCUCCAUCUGAGUCCCUAGGUAGAAACGUUUAUCUCCAACGGAGUCCCUAGAUCCAACUAGUGUCUAUUUUUGAGCAACCGAUGAUGUUUAAACGAACGUUCCUCCGUGUCGUUUUUAGAUUGUUUGGGUUUAAACUGGGUAUAAAGUUGGAUUGAUGUUGGACGUUCGAUAUUGACAGAUAAGCGGAAAUUAAUGGACCAUCUGUAAAGUUACAUAUGACAUUGUUAAACAUGUUUCUAACUUCAAUAGCAUUUGAAUUGAAUGACUUACAGUCAUAUAACCAACUGUAAAGUGUUCAUGUAGGUGUCUGGUAUGAGAAACACCUUUCAGAUUUCUGAUAUUUAUUAAAAUAAACUAUUAAAUCAUAUAUAAAUAUUGACAUAUUUUAUUACUGAAUAGGCUCAUACACAAAAUAUACCAUUAUUUAAAGCUCAAUACCAUUUGCAGGGAAUGAUGUAAAGUCACACAUCCAACUGUACAGUGUUCAUCUAGGUGUCAUGUAUGAGAAACACCUUUUAGAUUUUUGAUAUUUAACCCUACAAUGCAUGAACCAAAAAAAAACCUUCACGAAUGCAUAAAGGGGGUCAAAAUGUACUUUAUUGAAUGGUUUUAUUCAAAAAAUAGAUGUCCUAUUAAUGAAUGUAUGUAUGUAUUUAUUUAUUUAUUUAUGUCUGUCUGUAUGUAUGUAUGUAUGUAUGUAUGUAUGUAUGUAUGUAUUUAUUUUUUUCCAUAUGUAAAUGUUACUCAACAGACAAGGUCAUUCAAUCCAUGACGGAUGCAUGACAGAGAUUUAUCUAUUGCUUAUUCAGGUUUAAUUUGGAUUGUAACCUUUAAAACUGUUUGCAUAUGUAUAUUCCUCAUUGUUUGCCAAUGCAUUAUGUUAUGCUCAUCUGUGUCCUCCCAUGACACUGUGGUAAGCUUUUCUUCUCUUAAUGAGAAUUUUACUAAAUCUAUCAGAUAUUAUAAAUUGAUUUUGUAAAUUAGGGAAUAGGCUUUGCAAAUGUUGUAACAUAAACCUUUUAUCUUUUCUCAUGAGUGAUGAUACGGUCACUACAUAUGUUUGAAUGUGUGUAGAUGUAAAUAAACCUGAUAACAUUUUU